rnacentral:rRNA from 1 species
UUGACCUCGGAUCAGGAGGAAUACCCGC